rnacentral:rRNA from 1 species
GAGUGGCGGACGGGUGGNGUAAAGACUUGGGAAGUCUGUCUUUAUGGAGGGGGAGUAACUACGGGAAACUGUAGCUAAUACCGCGUAACAUCUUCGGNUUAAAGUGUGGGCUCUUCGGACCACACGCCAUAAGUUGAGCCCAAGUGGGAUUAGGUAGUUGGUGGGGUAAAGGGCCUACCAAGCUGACGAUCUCUAGCUGGUCUGAGAGGAUGACCAGCCACACUGGAACUGGGGAGACACGGUCCAG